CGUAACCCCUCAAACUCAAUUGGCAAGGACAUACCCCCGCCACAACCCCGCUGUUUUACACCUAAAAUCAGUGGGGGACCCCACUACAACCAGCCAUGGCCUGUUCCACCACUUACAGCGCUAGAUUAACAUAGGCCUAGUACGACCUCCAGCAAGCGCACCCAUCCCCUCGAGAUAACCAGGCCACAUCCGGCCAAACCCUAAGG